GUAGGGGGCAAGCGUUAUCCGGAUUUACUGGGUGUAAAGGGAGCGUAGACGGCUGUGCAAGUCUGAAGUGAAAGCCCGGGGCUCAACCCCGGGACUGCUUUGGAAACUGUAUAGCUAGAGUGCUGGAGAGGUAAGUGGAAUUCCUAGUGUAGCGGUGAAAUGCGUAGAUAUUAGGAGGAACACCAGUGGCGAAGGCGGCUUACUGGACAGUGACUGACGUUGAGGCUCGAAAGCGUGGGGAGCAAACAGGAUUAGAUACCCUGGUAGUCCGCGCCGUAAACGAUGACUACUAGGUGUCGGGUGGCAAAGCCAUUCGGUGCCGCAGCAAACGCAAUAAGUAGUCCACCUGGGGAGU
rnacentral:rRNA from 1 species